AGUUCAGUCAGUUGUCACCACGCCUCCCUCAACCCUACUUUCCUUUUCCUCCAACGAGCAGAGGGACUCCACCAUCCACACCACAAUCGACCCGGCAGUGACCCAGUGACCACCAGCGGUUGGAACCCUCGCAGUUUGAAGCGUCUAGCGUCAUCGUCAUCUGGUCUUUGGAAGAAUACACACGACACACCACACAGCACAACUGUCAGCGGCGUCUUCGUCGUCCUCUCAGCUCCUGACGUUGCCGGACAGAACCCUCACGGUGGCCCUUCCUCGUCGCGCUUCUCCCUUCCUCGGCGCGACCCNNNN
rnacentral:lncRNA from 1 species